GGGGUCAGGGUUAGGGGCUGGGGACAGAAAGGAUGGGGACAGGCUGGGGACAGACAGGAUGGGAAUAGAGCAUGGCAAGAGUGGGGUCAGGAUUAGGGACAGGGGACAGGAAGGAUGGGGACAGGGGAGGGCAGGAUGGGGAUAGAGCGUGGCCAGAGUGGGGUCAGGGUUAGGGGCUGGGGACAGAAAGGAUGGGGACAGGCUGGGGACAGACAGGAUGGGAAUAGAGCAUGGCAAGAGUGGGGUCAGGAUUAGGGACAGGGGACAGGAAGGAUGGGGACAGGGGAGGGCAGGAUGGGGAUAGAGCGUGGCCAGAGUGGGGUCAGGCUUAGGGGCUGGGGACAGGAAGGAUGGGGACAGGGCUGGGGACAGGGGACAGGCAGGAUGGGGACAGGGGACAGGAAGGAUGGGGACAGGGGAGGGCAGGAUGGGGAUAGAGCGUGGCCAGAGUGGGGUCAGGAGGACUGGGAAUAGGGCUGGCAAUGGGACAUGGGCUGUAUAGGGUCAGGGCUGGGGGUGGAGGACAGCCAGAGUGGGGACAGGGCAUGGCCAGAGUGGGGUCAGGAGGACUGGGAAUAGGGUUGGUAAUGGGACAUGGGCUGUAUAGGGUCAGGGUAUGGCCACUGCAGGGACAGGGCUGGAGAUAGGGGACAGCCACUAUAGUGACAGGGAAUGGCCUGUAUGGGGACAGGGUUGGGGACACCCAGGAUGGGGUCAGGGCUGGUGAGGGGACAUGGGCUGCACAGGGGCAGGGAAUGGCCAGGAUGGGGACAGAAUUGGGGACAGGUGAUAUCAGUAUGGGGACAGGGUUGGGGACACCCAGGAUGGGGACAGAACUGGGGACAGGGGACAGGUGAUAUCAGUACGGGGACAGGUUUGGGGACACCCAGGAUGGGGACAGAAUUGGGGACAGGUGAUAUCAGUAUGGGGACAGGUUUGGGGACACCCAGGCUGGGGACAGGGCUGGUGAUGGGACAUGGGCUGCAUAAGGACAGGAUAAGGCCAGGAUGGGGACAGGGUUGGGGACACCCGGGAUGGGGACAGAAUUGGGGACAGGUGAUAUCAGUACGGGGACAGGUUUGGGGACACCAGGAUGGGGACAGAAUUGGGGACAGGGGACAGGUGAUAUCAGUAUGGGGACAGGGCUGGGGGCACCCAGGAUGGGGACAGGGCAUAUCCAGCAUGGAGACAGGACUGGGGACAGGGGAUGGCCAGGAUGGGGACAGGGCUGGGGACACCCAGGAUGGGGACAGAACUGGGGACAGGUGAUAUCAGUAUGGGGACAGGAUUGGGGACAGGGGACAGGUGAUAUCAGUAUGGGGACGGGGUUGGGGUCACCCAGGACGAGGACAGAAUUGGGGACAGGUGAUAUCAGUAUGGGGACAGGUUUGGGGACA
rnacentral:lncRNA from 1 species